GAAAUGCGAUAAGUAAUGUGAAUUGCAGAAUUCAGUGAAUCAUCGAAUCUUUGAACGCACCUUGCGCUCCUUGGUAUUCCUUGGAGCAUGCCUGUUUGAGUAUCAUGAAAUCUUCAAAGUAAAUCUUUUGUUAACUCAAUUGGUUUCUACUUUGGUAUUGGAGGUCUUUGCAGCUUCACACCUGCUCCUCUUUGUUCAUUAGCUGGAUCUCAGUGUUAUGCUUGGUUCCACUCGGCGUGAUAAGUUAUCUAUCGCUGAGGACACUGUAAAAGGUGGCCAAGGUAAAUGCAGAUGAACCGCUUCUAAUAGUCCAUUGACUUGGACAAUACUUUUAUGAUCUGAUCUCGAAGCAGGUAGGACUACCCGCUGAACUUAAGC
rnacentral:misc_RNA from 1 species